rnacentral:lncRNA from 1 species
UUUCAGGGGAGGGCGGCCCAAAUUAAUUUUUAUCUAGAUAAUAAGAAAUUUUCAAUUAGUAUUAUGUUUGACGGGAAAGCGGCUAAAAUAAAUUUUUAUCUAAGUUACAAUAUUUUUUUUAUUCAAACGGGACCACAACUUAAAAUAAUUUUUAUCCGAUUAUAAUCUUUAACUUUAUCAUAAUUAUAAUAAUUUUUAUUAUUAUUGUGUUUGACG